rnacentral:rRNA from 1 species
UACGUAGGGGGCGAGCGUUGUCCGGAAUUAUUGGGCGUAAAGAGCUCGUAGGCGGCUUGGCAAGUCGGAUGUGAAAACUCCAGGCUCAACCUGGAGCCGCCACUCGAUACUGCUAUGGCUAGAGUCCGGUAGGGGAGUGUGGAAUUCCCGGUGUAGCGGUGAAAUGCGCAGAUAUCGGGAGGAACACCGAUGGCGAAGGCAGCACUCUGGGCCGGCACUGACGCUGAGGAGCGAAAGCGUGGGGAGCGAACAGG